AUUGAACGCUGGCGGCAUGCUUUACACAUGCAAGUCGAACGGUAACAGGCCUUCGGGCGCUGACGAGUGGCGAACGGGUGAGUAAUGCAUCGGAACGUGCCCAGUCGUGGGGGAUAACGCAGCGAAAGCUGUGCUAAUACCGCAUACGAUCUGUGGAUGAAAGCGGGGGACCUUCGGGCCUCGCGCGAUUGGAGCGGCCGAUGUCAGAUUAGGUAGUUGGUGGGGUAAAGGCCCACCAAGCCAACGAUCUGUAGCUGGUCUGAGAGGACGACCAGCCACACUGGGACUGAGACACGGCCCAGACUCCUACGGGAGGCAGCAGUGGGGAAUUUUGGACAAUGGGCGCAAGCCUGAUCCAGCAAUGCCGCGUGCAGGAAGAAGGCUCUCGGGUUGUAAAGCUCUUUUGUCCGGAAAGAAAAGCGCCGGGUUAAUACCCUGGUGUCCUGACGGUACCGGAAGAAUAAGCACCGGCUAACUUCGUGCCAGCAGCCGCAGUAAAAC
rnacentral:rRNA from 1 species